rnacentral:rRNA from 1 species
AAGUUUAUUCUUAAUUAAUAAAUAUUUUUUAUAGGAAAAAUAAAAUAUUUUCUAAUAAUUAAAAUUUUUUAAAAAAUGUAAAAGUCCUAAAAGAUAAAUACUAGUGCCAGCAUUCGCGGUUAUUCUAUAUUUUUUUAAGUCUUUAAAUUCUUAAAAAUAUACAAAAUAAAAAAAAAAUAUAAUUAAGUAAAAUUAUUUUAUGAAAUUUAAUAAAUUUUAAGAAAGUAAAUAAAAAUAAAACUAGGAUUAGAUACCCUAUUAUUUUUUAGUUGUAUUAAAGUAGUAAAUUAUAAUAACAAAACUUAAUUUUUUUGGCGGUUUUCUAUAUAUUCACAGGAACUUGUAUAAUUAAAAAGAUAACCCACUUUUAAUUUUACCUUUUUUAUUUUUUUGUACGGUUGUUAGAUAAAAAUUUAUUUUUUUUUCUCAAAAAAUAAAAUAUUUUUAAUUCAGAUCAAUGUGAAGAUAAUAAAAAGGAUUAUAUGAGUUACAAAAAUUAGAAAAAUUAAUUUCAUAAAUUUUUAAAAAUGGAUGUGAAACGUAAAAAUUUAAUAAAAAUAAAUUUUGAAUUAUUCCUAGAAAAAGUACAUAUUGCCCGUCACUCUUAUAAAUUAGAUAAGUCGUAACAAAGUAGAAAUACUGGAAAGUGUUUCUUGU